rnacentral:lncRNA from 1 species
GUUUCUGGAUGCUCAUACAUUCUUUUACAAAAACCCUGUUUCUCUUCUGCUUCAACCUCUUCAAUAACCUAAACCUUCAUUCACAAUCACGCUUCCUGGGUAUCGCUAUGAAGGUCAAUCUAUAUUUCUUUUUCAAACCUUAAUUGAAGCUUUCAGCCGAUCUCGCCCAUCGUCGUGAUUCAAAGGAAGAAGGGGUUACAAUUAAGUUUAGGCCUUUAAGGGGUGAAGAUGGCCCUUCUAAUGGGCAUGUAAGGCAAUGUUGGCAAUAGUUGGAGAACAACAAAUGACAUCAAUGACAUGUGGGCAAGAUUUAAACUUUUUGACCUGGUGAUGGAAUGGUAGGAAAAAACUUUCUAAAAUGUUCAUCUUUUGUCGACUGAUAAAUGAGGUAUGGACUUUUCAAGCAAAGGAUCUCUAAAGUAGGACAAGAAGAUAUGGUAGAAGAUUGGCUUGAGGUUGGAAAUUCACCUCGGCACUUAGUUUAGCAUCUAAGUUAUCUUUUCGAUGAUGGAAGGCAUGCACUUCGAAGAUUAGGAACACUUUGUGAGCAGAUUCAAGAACUAAAAGGAGUUGCUAUUAUCUUGAUGACAUAUGGUGAUGUCAGAGCUAGAGCUGGUCGACAAUGACUUACCUAAAGAAAUUAAAAUGACAGCGUCAUAGUAGCAUUAAGUGUCUUAUAACUUCUAAUACACAAUGAGAUUAUGUGUAUCCAUAUCAACCGGUAAUUGGUGGCAAAAUAGGCUGGUUGGGUUGAUCAAAACACAUAACUUUAUAUCAUGACAUUGCGUUGUCCAACCAACCUGCCAACAAAAAUUUCUUUUAAUCUCUCAAGUAUUAUAAAUAUUAAAUAUGUUGUGCAAUUAUAACUUAUUUUAUAUAAAAUUUACACAUUUGACCCGUUUGAGACGAAAAACCUAUUCACUCAUAUAACGCGUCGAAACUGCCACUUCUACACACUAGACACAGGGCACACUUUAUAAGAAAUUUUGUCAGGUUGCUUGCUGGAAGAUUUGGAAAGUUGUAGCAAAAUGAUUGGAAUAUUUAUCUUUUGAAUUUGGGAGGCAAAAUAAUAUGGGAUGGUCUCCAUUUGCCUUAACAUAUUUUUUUUUAUGGAAAAAAUGUAGAAUAUUUAUAAUACUUUCUUUGUAUUUAUUUUAUUUAUAUCACUUUGUUUGUAUUUAUUUUAUUUACAAACUUAUAAUUAAUGUAAAUCAAAUUUUCCUACCCGGGAAGUUCCCG